rnacentral:rRNA from 1 species
AGUUUGAUCAUGGCUCAGAUUGAACGCUGGCGGCAGGCUUAACACAUGCAAGUCGAGCGGUAACGGGAGAAGCUUGCUUCUCGCUGACGAGCGGCGGACGGGUGAGUAAUACUUAGGAGUCUACCUAGUAGUGGGGGAUAGCACGGGGAAACUCGUAUUAAUACCGCAUACGACCUACGGGAGAGAGGGGGCAGUUUACUGCUCUCGCUAUUAGAUGAGCCUAAGUCGGAUUAGCUAGAUGGUGGGGUAAAGGCCUACCAUGGCGACGAUCUGUAGCUGGUCUGAGAGGAUGAUCAGCCACACCGGGACUGAGACACGGCCCGGACUCCUACGGGAGGCAGCAGUGGGGAAUAUUGGACAAUGGGGGAAACCCUGAUCCAGCCAUGCCGCGUGUGUGAAGAAGGCCUUUUGGUUGUAAAGCACUUUAAGCAGUGAAGAAGACUCCAUGGUUAAUACCCAUGGACGAUGACAUUAGCUGCAGAAUAAGCACCGGCUAACUCUGUGCCAGCAGCCGCGGUAAUACAGAGGGUGCAAGCGUUAAUCGGAAUUACUGGGCGUAAAGGGAGCGUAGGUGGCUCUAUAAGUCAGAUGUGAAAUCCCCGGGCUUAACCUGGGAACUGCAUCUGAAACUGUAGAGCUAGAGUAUGUGAGAGGAAGGUAGAAUUCCAGGUGUAGCGGUGAAAUGCGUAGAGAUCUGGAGGAAUACCGAUGGCGAAGGCAGCCUUCUGGCAUAAUACUGACACUGAGGCUCGAAAGCGUAGGUAGCAAACAGGAUUAGAUACCCUGGUAGUCCACGCCGUAAACGAUGUCUACUAGUCGUUGGGUCCCUUGAGGACUUAGUGACGCAGCUAACGCAAUAAGUAGACCGCCUGGGGAGUACGGCCGCAAGGUUAAAACUCAAAUGAAUUGACGGGGGG